GAUGAACGCUAGCUACAGGCUUAACACAUGCAAGUCGAGGGGCAGCAUGAACUUAGCUUGCUAAGUUCGAUGGCGACCGGCGCACGGGUGAGUAACGCGCAUCCAACCUGCCCUUUCCCCGGGGAUAGCCUUUUGAAAGGAAGAUUAAUACCCGAUGUACUGGACGUUCAGCAUGGUAUGUCCAGGAAAGAUUUCUCAGUAAGCGAUGGGGAUGCGUUCAAUUAGGCAGUUGGCGGGGGAAAGGCCCACCAAACCGACGAUGGAUAGGGGGUCUGAGAGGAAGGGCCCCCACGUUGGAACUGAGACACGGUCCAAACUCCUACGGGAGGCAGCAGUGAGGAAUAUUGGUCAAUGGACGGGAGUCUGAACCAGCCAAGUAGCGUGCAGGAUGACGGCCCUAUGGGUUUUAAACUGCUUUUAUAAGGGAAUAAAGGAUGCGACGUGUGGCAAGUUGUAUGUACCUUAUGAAUAAGCAUCGGCUAAUUCCGUGCCAGCCGCCGCUGUAA
rnacentral:rRNA from 1 species